rnacentral:rRNA from 1 species
CAUGGAGGGUGAGAAUCCCGUCCGGUUGACCUUGUGACGCUUUACGAUACGUUUUCUAAGAGUCGAGUUGUUUGGGAUUGCAGCUCAAAAUGGGAGGUAAAUUUCUCCUAAGGCUAAAUAUUGGCGAGAGACCGAUAGCGAACAAGUACCGUGAGGGAAAGAUGAAAAGAACUUUGAAAAGAGAGUAAAAUAGUACGUGAAAUUGUUGAAAGGGAAACGAUUGAAGUCAGUCGUACCGACGGAAAAUCAGCUCUUUGAGUGCGGACUUGUGGGCUUACGUGAGUUUUAACACCUCGCUGUUUGCAACGUUCGUGUUUUUUGGGUGUACUUUUUCGUAUGGUUGGCCAAUAUCAGUUUUGAUCGCUAUAAAAUGACCGGCGGAAUGUAGCUUCGAUCUCGAUUGAAGUGUUAUAGCCUCUGGUUGAUGUGGUGAUUGGGACUGAGGAUUGCAACGAAUACCUUUUGGGCUAUCCGUCUGAUCUCUGAAGGUUGCUUAGGUGCCGAAAGCAUGCUUACGGUUAUUUAAGUUGACAGUCAAAAGGUUAGAACGUGAUUAUAUUCGUUAAGGAUGUUGACGUAAUGG